UACAGAGGGUGCAAACGUUGCUCGGAAUUAUUGGGCGUAAAGGGCGCGUAGGCGGCCUGAUAAGUAGGGGGUGAAAUCCUGCGGCUUAACCGCAGGGCUGCCUUCUAAACUGUCAGGCUAGAGCACAGUAGAGGCAGGUGGAAUUCCCGGUGUAGCGGUGGAAUGCGUAGAGAUCGGGAAGAACAUCAGUGGCGAAGGCGGCAACCUGGACCAACACUGACACUGAGGAGCGAAAGCCAGGGGAGCAAACGGG
rnacentral:rRNA from 1 species